AAAUGAAAUAGAUUGUUAGAUAUAUUGGUACUUAAAUUACAGGUCUUUUCAAGCCUUAUCCAAUAAUUAAGAUCUUCAUAACUUUUAGAGUAUCGAAUAAGAAAGUUUAAAACAAAAUUGUAGACACUUUACAGUUUUCUUAAUUACUAAACAAAAUGAAAUAUUUCCCUAUCCAUGUUGGUGCUCAAAUGACAGAUCUUUUCAAGCUCUAUCCAAUAAUUAAGUUUUUUAUAGUCCUUAGAGUAUCAAUCAAGAA